GCCGGUGCUUUUCUGUCGGUAACGUCAAGAUUGCAACGUAUUAGGUUACAACCCUUCCUCCCAACUUAAAGUGCUUUACAAUCCGAAGACCUUCUUCACACACGCGGCAUGGCUGGAUCAGGCUUUCGCCCAUUGUCCAAUAUUCCCCACUGCUGCU
rnacentral:rRNA from 1 species